ACCAGAUGCUCUCCGAGCCCUAUCUAUUACAAGCCAAGAGGUGUACACAUACCCCAUAAAAGCAUAAAGGGGAAGGGGAAAUGGACCAGAUGCUCUCCGAGCCCUAUCUAUUACAAGCCAAGAGGUGUACACAUACCCCAUAAAACUUAAAUAAAAGUAAAAGCAAGUAAAUGCAUGCAAGGAGAUAAGGAAAGCGAAGUAGACAGGCAUAUUCACAUAACACAUAAGAUCACAUAGGAGAGACAAAAAGGGGAUAAAAGAAGUUGUACCUUCCCCCGUGUGUAAUGCUAGUAAGGUGAACAAGACUCAGCUUGGGCUAUGGUCACUAAAGAAGAAGCUAAUUUGGGCUAAAACCAUUUUAAGGAAAGGAUUAAUGCACCAAUGGAAUGAUAGAAUAACAAUCAGAAUUCGUCGAACAUCUAAUCCUCUUUCACUUUGCAACUUAGAAAUGAUCAAAUAAUGCAUGAAUUCUAAGCAAGAGUGAGUUAUUGAUCAAAUUUCUGAAAUAGCAAAACUACCUAAGGAUCCAAAAGCAACCCUUAACCAAACCAUCAAGACCAUUUGAAACAUUUUAGAACUCAAAAGGUUCAUGAGCAUGAAAAGGUCAAUUAAUCAACUUACUUAGGGAAAUUAAAAAAAAAGGCAACCACAAGCUCAUUUAGACACAAGGUUCACAAAUCCAUGCAUCGAACAUCACCUUAGCAAAACAUGGUAACCAAUGAAGGCCAACAAGCAAUUGAAUUGAAACAUUAAUGCUACCAAAGACUCAAUGGUGAACACUAACCAAGCAUUCAAGCUCAAAUCAAGUACCUCUAGAAACUUCAAAAAUCCGAAGGCAAAGAAAAGGUCAAGUAAUGGCUGAAAAUGAGACCUACUAAACUCAAAUGCAAAAUGUGAUUAGAAUACAAAUCCAAGCCUAAAAAAAUCUAUUAAACUGAUUGAACCUCAAAAUGCAUCCUAAAACUCACUAAACAUCUUACCCAAAAUCACGUCAAAGCAUACCAAGAGCAAUUAGGAUUCUAGAAUGACAAAAGUGAUUAAAUUAUUCAACUAAUUGGACCAUACC
rnacentral:lncRNA from 1 species